rnacentral:rRNA from 1 species
CCUACGGGCGGCAGCAGUGGGGAAUAUUGCACAAUGGGCGCAAGCCUGAUGCAGCCAUGCCGCGUGUAUGAAGAAGGCCUCCGGGUUGUAAAGUACUUUCAGCGGGGAGGAAGGUGUUGUGGUUAAUAACCACAACAAUUGACGUCACCCGCAGAAGAAGCACCGGCUAACUCCGUGCCAGCAGCCGCGGUAAUACGGAGGGUGCAAGCGUUAAUCGGAAUUACUGGGCGUAAAGCGCACGCAGGCGGUCUGUCAAGUCGGAUGUGAAAUCCCCGGGCUCAACCUGGGAACUGCAUUCGAAACUGGCAGGCUAGAGUCUUGUAGAGGGGGGUAGAAUUCCAGGUGUAGCGGUGAAAUGCGUAGAGAUCUGGAGGAAUACCGGUGGCGAAGGCGGCCCCCUGGACAAAGACUGACGCUCAGGUGCGAAAGCGUGGGGAGCAGACAGGAUUAGAUACCCCAGUAGUC